rnacentral:rRNA from 1 species
UACGAAGGGGGCGAGCGUUAUUCGGAAUCACUGGGCGUAAAGCGUGCGUAGGCUGUUUUGUAAGUUGGAAGUGAAAGCCCAGGGCUCAACCCUGGAAUUGCUUUCAAAACUACAAGACUCGAAUCUCGGAGAGGAUAGCGGAAUUUCCAGUGUAGUAGUGAAAUACGUAGAUAUUGGAAGGAACACCAGUGGCGCAAGCGGCUAUCUGGACGAGUAUUGACGCUGAGGCACGAAAGCGUGGGGAUCAAACAGG